rnacentral:rRNA from 1 species
GCGAGUGGCGGACGGGUGAGGAAUACAUCGGAAUCUACUUUUCGUGGGGGAUAACGUAGGGAAACUUACGCUAAUACCGCAUACGACCUACGGGUGAAAGUGGGGGACCGCAAGGCCUCACGCGAUUAGAUGAGCCGAUGUCCGAUUAGCUAGUUGGCGGGGUAAUGGCCCACCAAGGCGACGAUCGGUAGCUGGUCUGAGAGGAUGAUCAGCCACACUGGAACUGAGACACGGUCCAGACUCCUACGGGAGGCAGCAGUGGGGAAUAUUGGACAAUGGGCGCAAGCCUGAUCCAGCCAUACCGCGUGGGUGAAGAAGGCCUUCGGGUUGUAAAGCCCUUUUGUUGGGAAAGAAAUCCUGUCGAUUAAUACUCGGUGGGGAUGACGGUACCCAAAGAAUAAGCACCGGCUAACUUCGUGCCAGCAGCCGCGGUAAUACGAAGGGUGCAAGCGUUACUCGGAAUUACUGGGCGUAAAGCGUGCGUAGGUGGUGGUUUAAGUCUGCUGUGAAAGCCCUGGGCUCAACCUGGGAAUUGCAGUGGAUACUGGAUCACUAGAGUGUGGUAGAGGGAUGCGGAAUUUCUGGUGUAGCAGUGAAAUGCGUAGAGAUCAGAAGGAACAUCCGUGGCGAAGGCGGCAUCCUGGGCCAACACUGACACUGAGGCACGAAAGCGUGGGGAGCAAACAGGAUUAG